rnacentral:lncRNA from 1 species
AAUUUUUUUUUUUUUUUUUUGAGAUGGGGUUUUGCUAUGUUACCAAGUUUGCUGGUCUUGAACUCCUGGCUUCAAGUGAUUCCCACCUCAGCUUCCCAAAGUGCUGGGGUUACCGGCAUGAGCCACCAUGUCUGUCCUGACAUGAUUUAAAGUGAUCAUCCUGGCUUCCAUGUGAAGAAGACUUUCAGGGGGUAGUGAUGAGAGCAGUGUGGGGACUAUUGUAAUAAUCCGGACGAGCAGUGAUGGUGGCUUGGACAAAGGUGGUAGCAACAGAGAUGGUAAAAAUGGUUGAAUUAUGGGAGAUAUUUUGUGGAUGUGGACAGGCUUUGCUCAUGGAUUGGAUAUGAAGGUGGAGUAUGGGGGCAGUGAAUGCCCAACUGAAUUGGCUUCAAGAGAGGAUGAAAAUAACAAAGAUAAGGAAUAUGGUUUUUCUGGAACAGAGAACCCUUCUUAGAAAAUUCCUUGGCCGGGCAUGGCGGCUUACGCCUGUAAUCCCAGCACUUUGGGCGGCUGAGGUGGGUGGAUCACCUGAGGUCAGGAGUUCGAGACCAGCCUGGCCAACAUGGGGAAACCCGUCUCUACUAAAAAUACAAAAAUUAGCCGAGCAUGGUGGCUCGUGCCUGUGAUCCCAGCUACUCAGGAGACUGAGGCAGGAGAAUCGCUUGAACCUGGGAGGCGGAGACUGCAGUGAGCCAAGAUCACUCCACUGCACUCCAGCCUGGGUGACACAGUGAGACUCCAUCUCAGAAAAAAAAAAAACCAAAAAGAGCGGGCUAUGACCUGUGGAAUCAGACCCUUUUAGCCUUGUCGGUCUCUCUGACUGUAUUCCCUGGACCAGGGUGUUUUGACACUAAGAGGUUUGAGAGCCCUGGACUGGCAGGUCCCUGAGAGCCCGGAAGAGUCGUGGGAUAAUCAGGGAGCUCAGACGGCUGCAUGUUCUUGGAAAAACAACUCCCCCUCUCCCAGCCUCUGUUUUCUCCCUGUCUAGAGAGAAUCCAGAUCCCUCUCUCCCAGGGUUUUUGUGGGCAUUCAAGGUGGCAGAGCUAUUCAGAUGAUCAGUGAGUUGAGUCAGGUUUUGGAUUCUUUCUGACCCAAGGGUAAUCAUUUUGCCUCACUUCCCCUGUGGAGAACUCAGAUGAGGGAGAGGAGAUGCAGACCAGGAUGUCUGUGAAGCCCAUAGCUCUGCCGCAGGCAUUAGUCUCACCUGGCCACCCUGACCUUUCUCCACCGCAGCAUUGUCAGUCUCUUACCCGGGUUUGGAAGGCACUGCCCUGCUCAGUCUGGGGGGAUGUGGUGACCCUCAGGACAGCCUCCCCAGCGCCCAGGCCCUGUCCAGGCCCAGGAUGAAGGCUGCCUCAUCCUCAGGCCAGGUGAGUCUCACCCCUCACUCCCCUGCUUAGGUAAAAGAUUUGGCCAAAGAAUGGGGAUGGUCUGUAAGUUAGCCCAUGUGAUCUUCAUGUAUGAAGAAAUAGAGGGGCAGAGGCUGGGCGCGGUGGCUCACGCCUGUAAUCCCAACAUUUUGGGAGGCCGAGGCUGGCGGAUCACCUGAGGUCAGGAGUUCGAGACCAACCUGGCCAACAUGGCGAAACCUCAUCUCUACUAGAAAUAUAAAAUUAGCCGGGCGUGGUGGCACACACCUGUAAUCCCAGCUACUCGGGAGGCUGAGG